GGGCUUGUGACCCAAUGGCUUAAGGUACCAGACUUUUAAUCUGGGAAUUGUGGGUUCGACUCCCACCAGGCCCA
rnacentral:tRNA from 1 species